rnacentral:ncRNA from 2 species
GUGUGCUACCGUUGCGGCGACAUCCUGUGUCACGCCGCGUGGUCGCGAAGCCGGUGAGAUCCCGGCACAGUCCCGCUACGGUGAGCGCUCUCCAGAGGGCGCGAGUCCGGUCGCCGACCUCACGGUGCA